GUCGUUCCUUUUUUUUUUCUCUUUUUUUUUGGGUUUCUUCUGAAAAAUCGACGGGGAGUUUUUUUCAAAAAAAAUACAAACAAAGAAUG
rnacentral:ribozyme from 1 species